UAGCAUGCAGCACUUCCAGAUUUUAUUGAGUAAACUGAGUAAACCUUUCCCCCAUCUCUGUGGCUGGCUUCCAACUGCCGAAAAACAUUUUAAAGCACACGAGAGUACCCUCUCGUGAGAGGCAGAUAACAGGCUCCGUAAGUGCAUUUACAACAUCGCUGAAGUCAUUUUAUUAGACGUAACGGGGAUCCGUGUGAUUUUUACAAGCCUGGAAAAAGCAAAAGCACAGCACUGUAAUGCCCGGAGAAAACACAGCUAACGUUCAGGUGGCGUGUUUUGGACCGGAAACGGCACCCUGCUGUCACACCCUCCAUUCAGGCCGAGAGCAAUCACACCAGCCCAGCUGCCCCUGAACGACACACACCACCCUGGAUCAAAGCUGCUCUCUGCAGUGCCCAAGGGUGCAGUGCAGAAUUCUGGGCCCGGUGCAAAAUGCAGUCUCUGUGGGUCCACUUUGUGGGUCCACGAAGCAAACUCUUUAGACCAGGCCUUCUGAGACACCCCCUCUCACCACCCACCCCCCCUUCCCCCCCGGGAAGUCACUACCACUAUUCCCCGACAGUUCCAAAGGCAGACUAGAAUAUGAACUCAGUCGCUUUCAAUUAACCCCGUAAGCUGUAAUAUCACUAAUGUUCUUAACUGAACGUUCUAAUGUGGAUGGAGUUCUAGAACAUUGAGUUUUGAUUUUUGGGGAAAAAAACAUUACGAAAACCUUACUCAUAUCAAAGGGUUUAAAUGUCACCUUUUGAGUCUCAGGUUGUGCUCACCCUGUGAGUUGCAGAGAUGUAUUCUUGUUUGUUAGGCUGUGCGUGGGAAGAUUAGCAUUCCCUGUAGUAUAGCUCCCUCUAGAGGUGUUCUUGGCGCUAUUUAAUUAUCUGCGUGCUCAAUCUUCAGGGCUACAGUGCUGUAGAAAGAAAUAACAGAAAAUUUUGAUUCCACAUUUAUUUGGGUGGAGUAGUACCAUUUAGGUCUAAUAAAAGUGUAAAAAAAUGAUCUAUAGACUUAUCAUUUGUGACAUCUCCUAACGUAACGUAACAUCUGUUAGCUGAGGGAACAUAUUAGAUUUCUUGUAGUGGCUUCUGUCAUUGAAGGGUUACUAAAAAGUUAGCUUUCGGCUAAUUUGGGUAGAAUGCAUCCUAUAAUUUUCACAGAUGGUUUUAAUUGAACAGUGCCCCAGUAAUAAAUAAAUACAGUGUGCGCAAUGUAUGUGCAUGCCUGCGUUUUGUAAAUAGGUUCACAGGCAGACAUUCUGGUGAUGUCAUAUGUCAUACUGUACUGUAAUUACCGACAGGAAGAAUAAAACUCCUAACAGUGAUGUCA